GUGCUUGUGUCACUGUCGGUACAGAUCGGUGUUCGUGCAAGUUCCUGUCUGCAGUUUCCUCCCGUCUAGUACACAAACUGCUGUUUGACUAGCAGAAUAAAACUCUGAAUUCAGCAAACCAAGGCAGCUCAGGAAGACCAGUUUAUCAGAUCAAAGGCUCAAAGGCCGUUGCGUCGGGCCUGAGAGCAGCACAGAUCUUCUAUCAUGGUUGGCAACGUCGUAACAAAGCCUCUGGGGUUCUUUUUGAUCGUCACAGCUCACAUGGUGUUCAACGGCUCUAGCCAUUCAGUUCAGCCAGUCACUGGGAUCCUUGGGAACAACAUCACCCUUCAAUUUACAUUUCAAGUCAACUUCACCAACGAGACCCGAGUUGCUGCUUACAUAGACAAAGGACAGAAAAAGAUUGCUGAAUAUUUACAGUGCAAAGUUUGCUUUGACAUUUACCCUGUAAAUUCUUCUGUAUUUUACCACAUCACAAACCUUAAACGGAGCCACAGUGAAAUUUACUAUGUCGGUGUGUUUAUGAACGGAGGACCAGCGAUAGAAAGCAGAAACAGGGUGAAACUGAUUGUCCAAGAGCAGAACACAAGCACAAGCACAGUUCCUCCAACGUCGACUAAGGUUGCAGCAGCUCCAAACAAUGGAAGUUCCAUUUUCGAUUCCUUUCACAUCAUCACUGUCCUUGUGGUUUCACCCGUAGUGCUGCUAGCUGCACUGCUUCCAGUCUUGGUCUACUGUUUGAUGAAGACCAAAGACAAACAACAGCAACAACCACAGCACAGCUCAAAUCCAACAGUGCAAGAAACAUUUGAGGUCUCCAGCACCGUGCCUGCGUCCUCGUUGGUCUACAGCGUCCUGGACUUCCCCAAAAGACUUCCAGCAGUUGCUGAGAUGAAUCCCAGUGAUACAGAGUAUGCUGCCGUCAGCUAUCUCCCAGAAACAAGACGAAUAUGACUGAAUGUAAACCUGCUCAUAUUUCUUAACAUGAGUAAGAUGUAUGUAGACAUAUAACCUAAACAUAUAUUUCUUCUGAGUGUGAGCAGUUCUGUUUUUGUAAGGCAGUUAUAAGAGCACCCAGACUUUAGACUUCCUGCAAGAUAUCACAAACCAAAGACUUCGGUGGGAAAGAAUCACUUGUCUGCUGCUGUGGUGGUCGUGAAACUGAAAUGUAUAUAGUACUUGUGACAAACCACAAAAGAGAGCACAGACUGUUACAGUAACAAACCAGCUUCCUGAUUAGUUUGCUCUUUAUUUGUUUCAGGGGCAUCUAGCCACUGAACCAUUAAAGGAUAACCACUGAGAUUUCAUAUUUUCUUAUCAUAAGCUAAUAAUUGUACUGUUUCAUGGCAUUUAGCAAGGUAGAAACACAUACUUUACUGCACUGUAGAGUGCUUUGGGUCUGAGUAAAUGCUACAAAAUAACUGCCAUUAAUAAUAGCUCCUAUCCAUUUACCAAAAAUUAUAGUUUCCAUGAGAUUUGGAAAAUUACUGAACCAUUUCAGCGUUUGUUUUUUUCAUUAGGAAACAGAAGAAGGUGGUGUUUUGUGCUACAGACAGGAAAUAUAGCAAAGUCAGUAAAUACUGAGAGAUGGUUUAACAGAUAAAACUUAACGCAGGAUGUUACCAGCCUUGUAUAUAAAAGCUGAAAUGUUCAUAGCUAUUUUUGAAAUCUCAACAGGCUGCCUUCUGGUUUCAAGUUGAGUUGCAGCAUCUUUUCUAGCUGUGUUUCCUUUUACAUCAAUGCUUUUAUCACAGUAGUGACUCACUAACUGUCUACUAUUGUUUUCUCAGGUGUAAUAAACUAAACUGAGAAUCAUUAGUGGUUGGAAACAGCUUUGGGGACGAGUUCUAUGUGUAGUUGCAGAUCAUUUAUCUGUCAGCGCACUGUAUAUUCAGAAGUCACAGGUGUGAUUUUCCAUUUACUGCUAUGACAGUUUGCCACUAGCACACCAGUUUUAAACACACAAUAACUACCUGACACUAUCUGGCUGCCAUUUUCCACCUUAUGGCCUCCAAAGUUCUCUCUGCAGGUGCUUAUUGGUGUCUUUGAAAGGUCUGUGAGACGGUAAGCAUUGACUUAGUUCUCAUGGCUAUGUACUGUUUUGGGUUUAGAAUGUAUUGUGUAGUCAAGCUCAACCCAACUGUUAGUGGAAAACAAGCAGGGUGAUUUUAUUUCAUCCCCUAUGUUGCUUUUUCUUUUCUCAGGAGGGACAACAACCAACUACUGUAAGUCAGGAAAUUCUGAUUGUGGCUUUUCAAACUGGUGGCUGCAGUCAGACAUCCAGUCAAACACAGACUGAAGGUUCUUCUUUCCUCUGAAAAGCCUGUUAGCAAAAUAGCAGAAGUGAAUUUUGAAAUUUAGCGAGCUACCAUAUCUUGUUCUGUCAAGUGUUAUUUCCUUAGAUACUACUAAACUGUUACUUCAUGAAAUACAUUCAAUAUUUUAGCAAUGAAUGUCAAAAUGGUAAACAAUAUUUUUAAUGUAAAUUAAGGCCUUUGUUUAAGAAUGUAGGAUCUCUGAGUCUCAUGUCAUUAAAAAACAACAACUUUGUUUUGAUGGCAGCUGUGGUAUGUUGGAAGAUGUGGCUAAAAUGAGAUCAAAAUGCAUUGUGUGAACUUCACUGUGUGUUUUGUUUUAAACUUCUUAAACAUGGCUGAGUCUUGAAUAAAGCUGCUGAUUUAA